CUAGGAUCUCGUGAGGAAGUCUGGAGUGUUUGUGGGCCCAUAUAAACUCAGAGAAUAUACGUUUUAUUGAUCCAAAAAAUGUUUUGGGUAUGGCCAUGUGCAAUGCCUGUAGGAGAUAUAGCAAUUUGGGGAGGACGUUCAUUUUUAGGAUAUGUAUGCGAGACAGCCACCCAAAUAGCGGCUUACGCCACUUGAGUAGGUCAUCUGAGAUUGAUUUGACCAAGGGGGGAAAUUAAGAUUGUAGAUUCUUGUCAAGUCUCUGGGAAGUUUGACUCCCAGGUAGCUAACUG